UACGAAGGGGGCUAGCGUUGCUCGGAAUCACUGGGCGUAAAGGGUGCGUAGGCGGGUCUUUAAGUCAGGGGUGAAAUCCUGGAGCUCAACUCCAGAACUGCCUUUGAUACUGGUGAGCUUGAGUCCGGGAGAGGUGAGUGGAACUGCGAGUGUAGAGGUGAAAUUCGUAGAUAUUCGCAAGAACACCAGUGGCGAAGGCGGCUCACUGGCCCGGUACUGACGCUGAGGUGCGAAAGCGUGGGGAGCAAACAGG
rnacentral:rRNA from 1 species